rnacentral:tRNA from 1 species
GGCCGACUAGCUCAGUUGGUUAGAGCGUCGUGCUAAUAUGGGUUAUAGUGUCGACAUGUUACGCGAAGGUUUUGGGUUCGAUCCCCACGUUGGCCA